rnacentral:rRNA from 1 species
AUGUGGCCAAACCGUGUGUGUGUUCAAGCCGGCAGGCGUUGCAUGUGCGGGGUUGUGGGGGCCUGUGUGAUCCUGCUGCCGUGGGAUCGGCUUGCAUGUGGUGUGAAGUUGAAUCGUCUGGGAAGGCGGACCGUAGUGGGUGAGAGUCCCGUAGACGUGAGUGUCAUGUGUGGUUUCAGGUUGCCCCAAGUAGCGCGGUACUCGUGGAAUGUCGCGUGAAUCUGGCGGGACCACCCGUUAAGCCUAUACUUCUUGGUGACCGAUAGUGUAUCAGUACCGUGAGGGAAUGGUGAA